UCUUAGAGUACAAGUCAUGCAUAUGCAGCCUCUUUGGUUGUUUACAGGAAAAAAGUCACCACUGAAGUAACAGAUGGUGUAUGAUACAGAAACAUACAUGCAGGUGGAUUUGGAGGCUGUAAGGGAAGUUCUUCCGGCCAGGAUGGCUGUGAGAAUACUGAAGACACAGCAUGAGGUUGGAGAAGUCUCUGUCUCCAGACAAGACAGUCCAGGAGCAGGCAUGUCCCCAUGCCGCAGGCAUUCAGCUUCCCGCAACGCAAGCCACUGAGCAUAAAAAGAGCUUGGGAUGAAAGUGGGUGGAACGAGUCACCCGCCAAGCCACCCAAAAACAAAAGAAGGACCAGGAACUUGUCAUGAUGGUCUGUGAACAAAAAACUAGAGAAAACCAAGGAAAAAAAAGGUGGGACUGUGGGAAUUGAGUAUAGGAAUCCCUGAGCUUGUACCAAUGGGUUAACAAGGCUAAGGAUGAAAGCAUCCAAGUUUAAGCACCAGGCAAUGAUUCCACCACAUCUCUCAGAGAAUCCAACAGACAACCCAUCAAGAAGGCCAAGUUAUGUCCUCCAGUCACAGAUGUGGAAACUAAAGCUAACAUCACAGCCUGGGUUCAGUAGUAAAACAAGCUAGGUGAGCAUCCCAGUACCCUUGAAUUUCGAUUGUCAUAACGUCAGGCCUGUAUCUCAGCAUUCUGGAACUCAGAUCCCACCUCCUGGAGCACCCCACUCUCCUGCCAUGAGGCCCCUUGAACUCAGGGGAGCAGAGCUGAGCCAUCAACCUGGGACCAGACAUGGUGGCUGGGAAAGGGAGGACCCUGGGCACUGUAGGCUCUCCCAGUACAGGACCACCAGGGCUCUGUGGUCUCUCUUGAUACCAGAUGAGUUGGGCUCCAUGAACUCUCCUGGUACUGAACAGCUGCUCCCCUUCAGGUCAGGACUUCUCACUGUGAAUCACCUGGGGCUUGGUUUCCUUAUGUUGUCAACGGACCUGCUGCUCCCCAGACCAUAAACCACCAUCUGAGGCCGAUCAGCACUGCCCCAUAAGGUUUAAUUUGCCUGAAUUCCUUCCAGGAAAGUCCCACAUCUCUGACAACUUCUCCCCAUGGAGGUCGCCUCCCCUUGGACCUGCAUGUGUUUGCUCUUCAUCCCAGGAACACAUGGACUUUGGAGUAUUUGGGGAACAGAGGCUUGGGAAACGUUUCUCUGGAGUUGGGUUGUGAGUAACACCUUUUCCCUAUGUGGUGCCACUGUCCAGCUUUCUGCAUUUCUUUCUUUAAGUUUUCACCCAAGGGGCAACAACCAUAUCUUCUCUGGCAUCAGGCUAUGUUGUCACAGAAGGAACAGGAGCCUCUACUCCAAGGUUAUGACCAAUUUUACCAAAGGGGUCUAAUUUUUUCACAUCCAACAUUUAAUCCUUUGGGGAUUUCAAUGUCAAAUGAGAAAAAUUCUGUUUCAAAUAAA